GGUAGGAUGGCCGAAGUUAGGCGGCGGACUGUAGUCCCGUAGAUAGAGGUUUAAAUCCUCUUCCUAUCA
rnacentral:tRNA from 2 species